UACGAAGGGGGGCAAGCGUUGUUCGGAAUUACUGGGCGUAAAGGGCGCGUAGGCGGCUCUUGAAGUCAGAUGUGAAAGCCCCGGGCUUAACCUGGGAACAGCAUUUGAUACUCGAGAGCUUGAGUUCGGGAGAGGAGAGUGGAAUUCCCAGUGUAGAGGUGAAAUUCGUAGAUAUUGGGAAGAACACCAGUGGCGAAGGCGGCUCUCUGGACCGACACUGACGCUGAGGCGCGAAAAGCGUGGGGAGCAAACAGG
rnacentral:rRNA from 1 species